GCUCUCAUUUCAGCAGAACAUACACUAAAAUUGGAACAAUAAAGAGAUUAGGAUGACCCCAGCACUAGGAUGACAUGCAACCUUAAAAGGUAUUCCAUUUUAUC